ensembl:lncRNA
AUGCACAACCUGCCUCGCUCGUGCCCCUCAGCAUGGAACGCUGCCUCCACCCACAGCACUCCAGCAACUGGGAAGCAACCGAGGGAUUUCCAUCCAGCUCAAAGAGCAAAGGGGAGUCGAAGGCUCCGAGCGCCGGAGAUCCAGCCCGCGCGUGCCGCAGGGGCGAGGCCGCAGAGCCCACCCGCAGGCAGCCAUGACCCCACCUGGAGACGCCCAAGCCCGCUCCCCGCACCCCGGGGACAAAGCCGGAGACUGCACCGCUGCGCACAGCAGCCCUGCACCCGGGCCGCCCUUCAGGCACCAGCCUGGGCGGGCGCCCACCUGGUAUCCACUCCGACGGCGCCCGGGAAUGCGGCCGGCGCCCCGAGCUCAGGCUGGGCACACUUGCACUCACACCCGCCUCGGGCGGGGCCCCUCCCACUCACCUCCGGCAGAGGCACACUCACACCCCCCUCGGGCAAGGGCACACCCACCAUGGACAGGGGCAUACUCACACCCACCUCGGGCAGGGCUCACUCCCACCCUGGAGAGGGGCACACUCACACCCCCUCGGGCAAGGGCACACCCAUACCCACCCUGGACAGGGGCACACUCACACCCCCUCGGGCUGGGCACUCACACCUACCCUGGACACGGGCACACUCAGCCCCUCGGCCGGGCACACCCAUAACCCCCUCGGGCAGGGGCACACUCACACCCACCUCGGACAGGACACAACCCACCCUGGACGGGGCGCACACACCCACUUCGGGCCGGGCACACUCAACCCACCCUGGGGCCAGGCACACGCGCACUCACCCACCCUCACAACCCCAGCCCGGCCCCUCGGCGCGCACUCGGACACCGCGCGGCCUUGGCCUCUCACGCCGCGGCGCCCCCCGCUCGGCCGGGCCCAAACACUCACGCCCCCUCCCUCCACGGCCGGGUCACCACCCCUCCCGCCGCUGCAGUCGCCGUGGGCCCGGAUUCUUCGCGCGGCCGGGCCUGGAGCCUCCGCGGAGGCUGGGCCAGGGCCACAGGGACCGCAGCGCCGGCCCCUCCGCCAUCUUCCCGGCCCGCGCCGCCCACCGCCCGCCGCCCGCCGCCGCACUCUCACCGGCCGGCUGCGCGCGGGCCGCGCCGCCACAGUCCCUCAUCCCGGCCCGCGCGCCGCGUGUGAGUCGCCCGCCGCUCCCCCGAGGUAUCCGCUGCGUUGCUGCGGCUGCUGCUGCUGCUGCUGCUGCUGCCGCCGCCGCCGCCGCCGCGGCAGCCCGCGCUGUCGGCGUCCUCCGCCGCCGCCGCCGGCCGAGUGCGCGGCGGCCGCGCGUCCUCCCGUCACCAAGCGCAACCCCCCGCCUCCGGCUCCGCCCCCGCGGCGAUCCCCGCCGGCCGCCAGGGGGCGUUGCCUCGCGAGACAGCAGAACGCAUGAGCCGGCGCGCCGCCUGCCGGGAGCCGGAGUUUCGCCGAGGGUGCGCGCGGCCUGCCGGGAGUCCGAGUCCCGCCGAGAAUGCGCGCGGCAUGCCGGGAGUCGGAGUCCCGCGGAAGGAGCGCGCGGCAAGCCAGAAGCUGGAGCGGCCGCGGUAGCGGCUUGCCUUCCCCACUCCACCCGCCGCCGCUCCUGA